rnacentral:rRNA from 1 species
AUGCAGUCGAACGGUAGCAGGCCUUCGGGUGCUGACGAGUGGCGGACGGGUGAGUAACGCGUAGGAAUCUGCCCUGUAGUGGGGGACAACGUGGGGAAACUCACGCUAAUACCGCAUACGCCCUGAGGGGGAAAGCGGGGGACCUUCGGGCCUCGCGCUAUGGGGUGAGCCUGCGUGGGAUUAGCUAGUUGGUAGGGUAAAGGCCUACCAAGGCGACGAUCCCUAGCCGGCCUGAGAGGGUGGCCGGCCACACUGGGACUGAGACACGGCCCAGACUCCUACGGGAGGCAGCAGUGGGGAAUAUUGGACAAUGGGCGCAAGCCUGAUCCAGCAAUGCCGCGUGUGUGAAGAAGGCCUGAGGGUUGUAAAGCACUUUCAGUGGGGAGGAAAAAGCGAAGGUUAAUACCCUUGGUCUUGACAUUACCCAGAGAAGAAGCACCGGCUAACUCCGUGCCAGCAGCCGCGGUAAUACGGAGGGUGCGAGCGUUAAUCGGAAUUACUGGGCGUAAAGCGUGCGUAGGCGGCUAUUUAAGUCAGAUGUGAAAGCCCCGGGCUUAACCUGGGAACGGCAUUUGAUACUGGGUAGCUAGAGUUUGGUAGAGGGGAGUGGAAUUUCAGGUGUAGCGGUGAAAUGCGUAGAGAUCUGAAGGAACACCAGUGGCGAAGGCGGCUCCCUGGACCAGAACUGACGCUGAGGCACGAAAGCGUGGGUAGCAAACAGGAUUAGAUACCCUGGUAGUCCACGCCGUAAACGAUGCCGACUAGCCGUUGGGUCUUUAAGGAGGCUUGAUGGCGCAGCUAACGCAAUAAGUCGGCCGCCUGGGGAGUACGGCCGCA